rnacentral:lncRNA from 1 species
GGCUAAAGGUGUUAGAUUUUAAGGAAUCUCUUGCGCAUGGAAGAGAAGCAGAAGUCACUCACGCUUGACUUGAGAAAGCCUCUGGGAGUUCCCUGGUGGCCUAGCAGUUAAGAACUCCGUGUGGUCACCGCUGUGGCAGGGGUUCAAUCCCUGGGCCCUGGGGAACUUCUGCAUGUCUUGGGUGUGGCAAAAAAAAAAAAAAGAAGAAGAAGAAGAAGAAGAGAAAGGAAAAGAAGGCCUCCAACGAAAAGCUCCACUCACAGAUGACAACACAUGUCUCUUGGAACCUGUCUCAUUAUUGUGUAUAUUUUCUUUCCUAGAGACUGUAAAUCACAUUUUCCCCUCAGAAUGAUUUCCCGUGCUUUCAGAUUCUUGGAAUCGAAAACAAAGCUGAUGUGUCCUGAGCUUCGGAGUAUGUGGCAGCCACUUUUCUGAGGACUCUUUUCAUCCUUACAACAGCCCCUGAUGGAGGUUCUAUUAUUAGCUCCAUUUUACAGACGAGAAAACAAAGUUCAGAGAAGCAAACUGACUUGCCUGAACAUCCCAGGGCUGUAGCAGCAGAAUCCAGGUUGACAGCAAAGUGGGGAAGGUUCAGCCUGAAAGGAGGCCCCAGUCAGGCUUCGUCAUUCACUACCGUUACCGCCUCGGCAUCCACUGGGGCGAACCACCCCUCAGCCUCACUGUCCCACCGAACCCUGUGGAAGCCUCUUCUUCCCAGAUCCCACCCCAGCGGGAACAUUUUGUGACUUAGCUGAUGAAAACACACCAAUGCUUUUCAAAUAUUACUUUAGAUUUUCGAACUCAGAGCAAUUUGUUUUGUUUGUUUGUUUGUUUUUGGCCAUGCCCACAGCAUGCAGGAGUUCCCAAGCCAGGAAAUGAACCCACGCCACAGAAGCAGCCCAAGCCACAGCAGUGACAACACCUAAUCCUUAACCCCCUGUGCCACCAGGGAACUCCUUAAAGAGCAAUUUUUAACUCUUUAAAAUUUCGUCUUAAAAAGAUUCUUUCUUUUGCUUUUGUUGUUGUUCUUGUUUUUCUUUUUAGGCAUAUGGAAGAUCCCAGGCUAGGGGGUCAAAUCAGAGCUGCAGUUGUCAGCUGGCACCACCGCCACAGCAACACCAGAUCCAAGCCACGUCUGCAAACUAUACCGCAGCUUGCAGCAAUUCAAGAUCCGUAACCCACUGGGCAAGGCCAGGGAUCGAACCUGCAUCCUCAUGGAUACUAGUCAGAUUCUUAACCCGCUGAGCCACAGGGGGUUUUAAUCCCUUUUAUACAUGAUGAAGGCACAGGGGUAAGAAAAAGCCAACUUCUAAUCCCCCCCAACUCCCUAUUUCUGUCAUGUCCUAACUAAUCUGUCAGGAACCUUGUGAGAAGGAGAAAAGUGGGACCGUUUCUGCCCCCCCUCCAUGCCCCUGUCCCGUUGACACUUCCGAAAGGAGUGCCCGACCCUAGCAAAGGCACUGGGAACUCAGCAAAGGACCGGCUCUGCCCUCAUUUGGUGACAACCCACGGCACACAGGGGAGCACAGAGACGGAGGGAGCGCGGGGGCCGUGUCGUCUGUGCCCCGAAGGAAAUCCCCUGCCUUUGGGGGGCGGGGGGGGCCCGGGGAGUGGGCAGGGGCACUCCUACCCCCAAGGCGGAGUCUGAAGAGGAAGCCCCGGCCAGGGGGCAGAGAGGUCCCUGUCGCCACAGCAGCACCCUCCAGGUCCCAGAGGGGCCACUUCCCUGCUGGCCCACGCUCGGGUCACCCUGCCCUCAGCGACCAGACACUGCCCUGACCACACCCGUCACAGCUUUACGCUCAAACCCUUCUUAUGGCUUGGCUUUUAUUUUUUCGUUUUAAUGUAUAGUUUUUUGGCUGGGCCCACAGCACAUGUGGAAAUCCCUGGCCCGGGGCUCGAACCCAUGCUAUAGCAGUGGCCCGAGCCACCCGCUAAGCCACCAGGGAACGCCUGGCUUCAUUUUUAGACACAUUUCGGGAGAGCAAAGUCUACCUGGUCGUGUUUGGACAGCUUAUCUUAAAUGUUUUAUUUUGGGGAGGCUUGUUUUUUCAGGCUUAAUUUCUCCAAAGAGCCCAAACGAAUAAAAGGACACCAAUGCCACCGCACACCCCAGACUCCUGCCUUCACGGCCGAGGGGGAUCAGGGCAGAGAGCGUCCCCUCCCCCGAGCCUGAUGCAAGGACUGUCCUGAGAGCCACCCCUCCGUGGCUGCCCCGCAGAGCCCAGGGACACCCUUCCUCCCCGUGACGUCAGCUGGUCGCACAAGAACCGGGCGGAGGACAGGCGCCCCCCAGGAGCGGAGCAGGCCCUCUGCUGAGGGGCACCCACUGGACUUCAGGGCCCUUCCUGCGUCGGUGUCUCCCAGCCUCUCUCCAGUCCUCCCUCGGCUUUCGCCCAAUCCCUGGAACCCCCGUGCCAUCAGCAAUACACUUUCCAAGGCCGGCUGCUUUCCCCAGAGCUUACACACCUUUGUUUCAAAACAAAACUUGCUACCACUGCUCUGAUGGGAAAUCUGGUUUCACUUACCGUCAACGGAGGGCUGCCAUAAA